UUCAGAGGCCAGUAGAAACUUAGGAGUUCACUGGAGUUACCAGGAAAAGAUACAGCUCCUCCAGUUUCUCAGCAUUCUCUUGUAUUGAUUAAUGAGUUUAAUCAGUAUUGAUUAAAGACAUAUUUCCCUAAGCAUAAAGAAUGACAUUAGCUCCCCUCAUCCUGAAGGGUAGUAGUUACACAAGUGGGUGGUUAAAGGGGAUAAAGUACAAGUAUUGACACCAUGAGAAAAAUAAAGUGUUCUAUCAUUUGUUGCUCAGUUAAGCUCACCACAUUUUAAGUAUCAAAAGAAGCAAAUAAUAAUAGGAUAUGAAUCAUAUUCAUUAUUCAAGAAAAUCAUUAGCAGUGUGAAGAAAGGUGGUGCAUACACUCCACCAUGUGAAUACUACCCUAGAUUUACCACUAGCUUUCCUUCAAUGGGUUCAAAGAAUUUUGCAGGAUACAUUUUCAAUGAUCAUGUGUCGAGGUUUGAUUGCAGGGUGACAAUAAAACCGUGGCAGACGUAUUGUUAACCCUGUCUCCUCCCCCUUCCCCCUUCAGCUCCCCCCUCUCCCCCCUUCCCACUGAGGACAGGCGAUCAGGAGGGAAAGAAGGACAGAGAGAAGAGAGUUGGAAAAAUUAAAAAUGUUUUACUAAUGCUACUAAUAAGAAUAGAGAAAAUAAUACAAAAUAUACAAAACCAAUCUUCAAAGUCCCAGGAACUACAGAGCCGGCACCUGAAGUCCUGGACUGGACUCUGCAGCGAACUGGAACUGGAUUCAGUCUGUCACUAGGCCUCCGUUCACAGGGACAAAUCACAAGGUCCUCUCCUAAUGUCGGCCAUAAGGGAAAAGGGACGAGAUCCUCAUGAUCUCCCACUUUUAUGUGAAGUAUGAUGUGAAUGGGAUGGAACACUUCAGUUGGUCAGUUUUUUGUCACUUGUUUCUCGUUGUCCCUCUCGUGAGGUGUGCAUCCGUUCUUACCAAUGACCUCGCAUUCCAUUGCUAUGUCUACCGAAACGCUUAUCUGGCUUUCCAGGAAAAUGCAGCUAAUAUGAAGGUUUCAGCUGACAGGCAAAUUCACUAAAAGAGAAACUUGUUUCUAACAAAACUAGGGCAUCAUGUCAUCCCUUACUGAUGAAUAAUAACUGCAGGAGUGGAAUAAUCCAGCCAUUUUGUUGGUGGCUGCUCUUACAUGGUUCAAAAGAGGAAGUGAACAAAAAGGUCAAAUGCAAAAUGGAGUGGCAGCUGUAGGAAGUUACACAGGUGAUAUUUUUAUUUGAAGAAACAAGUUCAAAAGAGCAUAAAAUACAAAGAGAAAUUAUAUCCAAUAUCCAAAACACAUUGAAUUAUUCAUUACCACUUAAAAAUUUAACUUAAUCUGAUCAUAAAGUAGUUUGAAAUAUGUUGUUCUUUUCAUCAGGAUCAGAGUACAUAUAUGUAUAAUAUACACUUGUAUAAGUGUAUACAUAUGCAGGGGUAUACAUAUGCAAAUGCAGAUGAGCAAAGACAUACACAAUGUACCUAGUCAUAGAAUCUGUGGCAUCUGUGUAGUCAAUUACAAGCCCCAACUGUAAACAUUAUUUUCCUCAGGGAAUAUUUCAGUAAUUAAUGAAUGCUGUUGCUGCAUGGAGGUGCAGCAGAGUGUGCUGAUAUUAUGGUUUCCCCAGCAGCAUAGCCAGGACUGAAUCAUUCAGACAACUUCCUUCCCAGCACGCUAGGCAAAGCUGAACUUAAAAAUGUGUCAGUACAUAUUUAUACUCCUUCUUCUCCAAGGUCAGAAGGGCUGUUUAAGUCUUCCACAUCUGGCUGCUCUCUCCCACCCUUUUCCUGUGGGAAGUUCUCUCACAUCUUCAGCCACAGAGAAGGGGAAGAAUAGCUGUGUGAGGAUUACACAGCAACCUAAAGAUAUGUGUAAAAGCCUAAUUUAGUGUACCCUGCAGAAUAUUCAGUAAGAGACUGACAGAGAUAAGGGCCCCAUUGCAUCCUUGUGUUAACGGGAGUCUUCAGCACAAAGCGAGAGGAAAACCAGCUCAAACCGUUGGAGCCUUGGCCAAACCCAGCGUGCUAGGCCAAAGAUGAGAAGUGCACGACAAGAUAGACCGCAGCCUUCAUCCAAAAGACCCCCGCCCAUGACCACCCGGAGACACUGAGCAGGCGCAACAGGAAAGAGCCAAAGGUGAUGACUAUAGAUAUAAUUCCUUGGAACUCAUUUUAAUAAGAAUGGCCUUUUCGAGGAAAAAGUUAUGAAUAUGUACAGGCGUUCCUAGAAUAACCAUGAAUAUGUAAACCUUUACCACAUUUAACCAAGCUUGCUGCUACUGGAAAGGUGCGCCGUGGUGGAGCGGAGACUCCCAGGCCGCCCAGGGCUGUUUUGCCUGCUUGCUGUAAUAAAUUCUAAGCAAUUUA